UACAGAGGGUGCAAGCGUUAAUCGGAAUUACUGGGCGUAAAGCGCGCGUAGGUGGUUAGUUAAGUUGGAUGUAAAAGCCCUGGGCUCAACCUGGGAAUGGCAUUCAAAACUGGCUGACUAGAGUAUGGUAGAGGGAAGGGGAAUUCCAGGUGUAGCGGUGAAAUGCGUAGAUAUCUGGAGGAACAUCAGUGGCGAAGGCGCCUUCCUGGACUAAUACUGACACUGAGGUGCGAAAGCGUGGGUAGCAAACAGGAUUAGAAACCCUAGUAGUCC
rnacentral:rRNA from 1 species